rnacentral:rRNA from 1 species
CAGCCGCGCGGUAAUACAGAGGGUGCGAGCGUUAAUCGGAUUUACUGGGCGUAAAGCGUGCGUAGGCGGCUUCUUAAGUCGGAUGUGAAAUCCCUGAGCUUAACUUAGGAAUUGCAUUCGAUACUGGGAAGCUAGAGUAUGGGAGAGGAUGGUAGAAUUCCAGGUGUAGCGGUGAAAUGCGUAGAGAUCUGGAGGAAUACCGAUGGCGAAGGCAGCCAUCUGGCCUAAUACUGACGCUGAGGUACGAAAGCAUGGGGAGCAAACAGGAUUAGAUACCCCAGUAGUCCCUGUCUCUUAUACC